ensembl:snRNA U6 U6 spliceosomal RNA
GUGUUUGCUUUGGCAGCACAUAUACUAAAAUUGGAAAGAUACAGAGAAGAUUAGCAUGGACCCUGCACAAGGCUGACACGCAAAUUUGUAAAGCGUUCCAUAUUUCU